GAUUAAGAACGUAGCGAAAUGCGAUAAGUAAUGUGAAUUGCAGAAUUCAGUGAAUCAUCGAGUCUUUGAACGCACAUUGCGCCCCCUGGUAUUCCGGGGGGCAUGCCUGUCCGAGCGUCAUUGCUGCCCUCAAGCACGGCUUGUGUGUUGGGCCGUCGUCCCCCUCCUAGGGGACGGGCCCGAAAGGCAGCGGCGGCACCGCGUCCGGUCCUCGAGCGUAUGGGGCUUCGUCACCCGCUCCGUAGGCCCGGCCGGCGCUUGCCGACGACCAUCAAUCUCUUUCUCCAGGUUGACCUCGGAUCAGGUAGGGAUACCCGCUGAACUUAAGCAUAUCAAUAAGCGGAGGA
rnacentral:misc_RNA from 1 species